AUAGUCAUGCUACAUUACGAAAUAAUAGUCUAUUUUUCUUGAAUCGGUAUAAGGUUAGUGCUAGUGGCAAAGGGCUAGAGUUGCUGCCUUGAUGAAGGGAGAUCGAUUGUAACUGUACACAUCUCAUUUUUUUAACUUGAAGUAGAGGGUCUAUCGAAAACAACUACUCUAUCUUUAAGGUUAAGUCUGCAUACACCUCCUCCACAGACCAUAUUUUGUGGGAUUCCACUGAAAAUAUGGCUUGUGGAGGAGGUGUAUAAUUGUGGAGUAUCUUUGUUCAAUUGGAUGGAAUUAGCAUAAUUUGGUUAAUAUCUUCGUCUCAUCAAGAUGAAGCAACACUUGAGGGUCUUUGAAACGUUCAUUUUGUGGAGAGAUGAAUGGAGUGAUGGUGUCUGAUAUUUGUCUUUCCCGUCCAUGAUUGGCAUCACCACUCCUCUCUUGACUGGACUAACAUAGCCCAACUGAAACUGUGAACCUUAUGCUAUAAAGAUCAUCAAUCCUUUUGACCAACACUGAUCUCUCGGUAGCGUUAACACUCAAUUCUGCAUCUUCCUCAACCGGGACAUCAACUGUCUCACUCACUGUUCCACUGUGACUGUACAGUAAGAGCAUCAACAUUUUCAUCCCAUUAUGACACUUCCUUUGGUCGUACAAUUAAUGUAUGGAUGUCAAACAUGUCUGACAAUGCUUGAACCCAUGUAAAAUCGCACUUUCUUUCUUGUAGUUGUGUACCAAUAAACUGUGCAUUAAUAUGGAGGCUGUCAUCUGAGACAUUAGCAAAUUUAGUUUUCUUUGC